rfam:Firmicutes bacterium CAG:466 genomic scaffold, scf312
CCUGUUAUUCCAUUAGCAGUAGCCUAUCGUCACCGAAGCGGCUGGCAACGGCCGUGAGGCAGCAUGGCGAGAAAAGGCAGCCCUCCCGAAAGGGUCAAGCCGAAACCGCGAGGCAGAGGCGAAAAGCUGGAAGCAACGUCCGGCUGGGGAG